UACGGGGGGGAGCAAGCGUUGUUCGGAUUUACUGGGCGUAAAGGGCGCGUAGGCGGCCAGCACAAGUCAGUUGUGAAAUCUCCGAGCUUAACUCGGAACGGUCAACUGAUACUGUGCGGCUAGAGUGCGGAAGGGGCAACUGGAAUUCUUGGUGUAGCGGUGAAAUGCGUAGAUAUCAAGAGGAACACCUGCGGCGAAGGCGGGUUGCUGGGCCGACACUGACGGCUGAGGCGCGAAAGCCCAGGGGAGCGAACGGG
rnacentral:rRNA from 1 species